UUGUUACCUUUAAGCUCCAACCUGCACAGAAUCAAAGACAACUCAACAGUUUCUCACGCAACAAUUGCAUAAUUUAAUAGAACACUCAUAACCAAACAAGUGAGAACUUAAAGUUGCUCUAUAACUAGAACCAGAAGACAGAUUUAAUCUACAGUCCAAACCCAAGACUAAGAUUCAUCCAUUACACAUCCUACAUAAAAUCCGUUCCACUAUUGUAAUGUUCCUGGCCCAAUCAUAGCCUUAACCACAUGUUCAAC
rnacentral:misc_RNA from 1 species